rnacentral:rRNA from 1 species
UACGUAGGGGGCGAGCGUUGUCCGGAAUUAUUGGGCGUAAAGGGCUCGCAGGCGGUCUUCUAAGUCUGAUGUGAAAUCUCGUAGCUUAACUACGAGCGGUCAUUGGAAACUGGGAGACUUGAGGACAGAAGAGGAGAGUGGAAUUCCACGUGUAGCGGUGAAAUGCGUAGAUAUGUGGAGGAACACCAGUGGCGAAGGCGACUCUCUGGUCUGUAACUGACGCUGAGGAGCGAAAGCGUGGGGAGCGAACAGG